rnacentral:rRNA from 1 species
GACGAACGCUGGCGGCGUGCUUAACACAUGCAAGUCGAGCGGUAAGGCCCUUCGGGGUACACGAGCGGCGAACGGGUGAGUAACACGUGGGUGACCUGCCCUUAGCUCUGGGAUAAGCCUGGGAAACUGGGUCUAAUACCGGAUAUGACCUCAUGACGCAUGUUGUGGGGUGGAAAGCCUUGUGCGGCUAGGGAUGGGCCCGCGGCCUAUCAGCUUGUUGGUGGGGUGAUGGCCACCAAGGCGACGACGGUAGCCGGCCUGAGAGGGCGACCGGCCACACUGGGACUGAGACACGGCCCAGACUCCUACGGGAGGCAGCAGGUGGGGAAUCUUGCGCAAUGGGCGAAAGCCUGACGCAGCGACGCCGCGUGAGGGAUGACGGCCU